UUCCCCUAAAACCUAACUCUCUAUUUCUUCCCCCAUUUCUCUCUCUCUCUCUCUAACUAUCUAGGGUUCUAUACCCUAAUUUCUUAGUUUUUUUCUUUCUUCAGUUGCUGUUCUAAUGGCGGUUCUUAAAAUUGCCUCUGUUUGUAUUCUUCCACAGCUUUCUUGAACUGCAUCCCUUUCCUGAACUCAAUUCGCUCUUAAUUUCCCCUUUCUCGAUCUCUCUCGAUCGAUCUCAAAGCGUUUUUUGUUCAUCAAUUUUGUUGCGGUUCAAUAAAGCUGUGGGAAGAUACAGUCAGAGUCAAAUGAAUUCCAUAAAUCUACAAUUGAAUUCUUCAAUCGCUGCUGAAAUUGGUUCCAUAGCAGGCAAAAACAAGUUUCUGUGAAAACGGCUUUAAAGCUAUAUAUAUGCCUUUCCAUGAUGAUGAUGAUUAUUAAUUAUUAUUAUUAUGAUUAUAUAUAUAUAUAUAUAUGAAUGUAUAUGUAUUAUAAUUAAAUUAGUUGCUUUCAAAAGGUUAUAUGGAUCUGUACUUUUACUGUGCCCGUAGAUAAACCAACAGUUUCAUAUGGUUCACUGCAGCCAUAGAUUCCAUCGAGGUUUUAUUUUAUUUACUUUAUGGUUUUCUAAUUUUGUUAAAUUAAUUAAAUGGAUGACGAAGUUGAGUUUUUUUUCUGGGGGGUGAAUUUGUGAAAUUUUGAGAUCUCUGUGGGUUGAAUUGAAUUGAAUUAUUAAAGAGAGGGGGAAGGAUGAUUAUUCUGUGCAGCAUAGUAAAUGUGAAAUAUGAAAUUAUUCCUAUUGUAUUGAAUGCUAGGUUUAAGGUAUUUGGACCACAUAACAGAAGGCCUUUAAUUGGCUCUUUUUAGCUUCAAACUCCAUCAAUUCAGGCCAUACAAACACUUCCUUUUCUUUUCUUUUCUUUUUUUUUUUCAUUUGUCAUCUUCACCUAUCACAUUCACUUUUAAUUUGUCUCUCUUUUGUUCUUUUACUGAAUCAUUAAUGAACUAACUUUAGCUUUUUAUAAUAAAAUUAUUUUUGUUUACAUGUGUAUAUAUAUCAAGGUCAUUCAAGCUAUAUUAUAUACAUGGUUUUAUAUCAUAUGCUCAAGUUCAUCACUGUACAUGUGUUCCUCUUUUCAUUCUUUCCGUGGUAUGAGAAUUUGAACUACCUACUCUUACCGUACCUCUCAGAUUUGUUUUGGUAUGCUUAUCGGAUAAAAGAAAAAAAAAAUGUCCUUUGAUCUUUCACUUACGUUCCUAGGUUAAGUUGAUCUUCAUAUUAGAAAAAAGUUUCUAAGAAAUCACUAAGCUCUCAAUUUAUCAUCUUAUUAUUUGGUGAGAUCUGAAGAGGGUUUGUUUUUUUCUUUUCUUUUUGGCCAUAAAUUCUUAAAUAUUAGAGUCUAAUAGAUUAGGAUCUCAUGAAUCUAUUAGUAGAUAUUUUAAAAGUUUAUAGGAACUUUUUUUGUGUACUUUUUGAAGUUUAAAGAUUUAGUAGAGUAAAUUUGUACUUUACAAUAGUAGAUUAAAAGGUUUUUUUAAGAAAAGUAAUUUGCUUCAAAUAAAAUGAAAACAUGCAUUAAGUAUUGUUGUGUUGGUGUAUUGAGAAUGGUUUAAUCGUCAUUUCUUGUUUUUGAUUAAUAUUGUUUAAUUUACUUCCUUUCCUGUUAUGCAAUAUUUUUUGAAGUUUAAGGCUCCUUUAAUAAAAUUUAUACAUCAUAAUUUGAAGCAGUAGGUAUGAAUAUAAGGUUUCUUUGUCCCUUUUCGUAACCGUCGCAUGGAUUUAAGGUCUACUUGUCAAGAUCCUAUAACAAAAUUUGAAAACAAAAGGGCUAUAAUGUAUAGUUUCCAUGAGUUUCAAUUUUCAAAACAAUAAAACAUAAUUUUCAUCAAUUUUGGAACUAUGUUUUACCUUUUUUUUUUCAAUAGAUGAUUGGAAAUUAAAAUUAAAAACCAAGAGAAUUGGAAGUAAAUGAAGAAAUAUACAAAUAAAAUAUAUGAGAUCUUAAGUAUUAAGAGGCUUCUAUUGUCCUCCCAAAAAAAAAAAAAAAAACUUGAGGCUCCAUGAUAGCCCCUUGGUCUUUUACUGUUUUUUCUUUAAAUUGAGCUUAAUUAACCCUAUAAACACUGGAUUUCUUUGUUUUGUUCUUUAUUAUUAUUUUAGGAAUGUGUUAAAAUACUUUUGGAAACAAAAAAAAAAGAAAAGAAGUUUUUGUUUUUGAAACUCGCUAAUGAUCCAAAUGUUUAAUUAAAUAAUAAAAAUUAGGUUUUGUGAAACCCUAAUUUCGCACAUUGAUAUCUCUAUUUGUUUUGUCCAAAAAUAAAAUUUUGAAGUAUUUUCAAAAACCAAUGGACGGAAGUCUUGGAAACAAAACUUUGGUUGAAUGCUUUGAAAAAAUUACUUGUUUUUAUUUAUAGAAUUAAUUUAAGAAUAUAAACCAUUUUGUGGUUAAAAUGGAGUUAAUUAAGUUUUUUAUAAUUAUAUCUUACUGCGAAAUUUUUGCUAUAAGAUAUAAAAAAACAAAUAAUAUUUGUAAAAUAUUUACAUCCACGAUAAAUAAAAGAAAAUCAAUGAUAAAGUGAGUAAAAAGUCACAAUUACAAACAUCAAAAUAUUAAAAAAGUCCAAAAUUAAGUCUCAAGUAUCCCGUGAAGCAUCCCUGGCACCACACCAAAUUUGAUCACGAAAAGCUUCUGAAUAUACACUACAAAUAUUUACACUAUAAAAUUUAAAACUCUUUUCUUUUUUAUUUUAUUUUCUUUAAAGUCAUAACAAUUUAUAUUAAAAAAUAAUUUCUAUUUUAAUUAUGUUACAGGGAGGGUUCCAAUCCUUGUAAUUAAUAUAUCCCCAUACCCAUUUGUUUAAUUCAUCUUUUACAGGUCAUAGAUCCAACUCUCAUUUUUAUAUUAACAAUCAUGAUGAAACAUUCACUUACAUCUACCAUAAUUUGAUUAUUGUUCUUCAUUACAUGUUGUUUUUUUUUAUAAAUUCCCGUUACUUAUACAAUAUAAUAGUAUAUUAACAGUUUGUAAUCCAAUUAUGCAAACAUAAAGAUUUUAAAUCCAUGAUCUAUGAUUCGUUGUUACACUUUAUAUAUUGUUCAUAUUCGAAAACCUUUCUCUCUGUUGUUCUUUAAAACCUUUAAUCUAGGAAACGUAAUUACAUUUAUUUAUUUAUUGGACAAAUAUCAGUCCUUUAUUAUGUUUUAUUAUAUUUGAAUACACUCUAAAAGUUGUAAGUUUAAAUUGAUAUAAACGGAUAUACUUAUAGAAGUAGGGUCUACAUUGAUACCAUUUUAGUUUUGAGAUAAUUAUUAAUUAAUGGUCUCAAUAAAUUGAUAUUUUUUGUUUAUUUAUUUUAUAGAUUUGUUUUUGUGGUAUUUAAACAUGGUUAUGUUGAGUAAAAAGGGGAUUGUUUUUUUUUUCUUUGUCUAAUUUUGUAAGAUCAAAGUCAAAAGGAGGGUUUGGAUUAUUUGUUUGUCUUUUGGGUUUUGAUGGGAAAAAGGGUGAAAAUUUCUUGUGCUUUGUGAGAUUAGAAAUUCGAAAAUUGAGAUUAGCGAAAGUAAUUAAUUAAAAUAAUGGUGUAAUUAGAGCACAACUUCCUCGAUGUUAAUGCACAAUUCCCUGUCUGCUUUUGUCAUUUUGUAACAAUAAACCUUUUAUUCUUCCUUACUCAAAUUUGAAUUAUUAAAAAAACAUAUACAUAUUUCAGUCCACAGUUUUAUUAUUUAUAUAUUUAAAAUAUUAUUUAAUAGGUCAAAUAUAAUUUGAAUAUCAUCAUAUAUGGGAAUGUGUGUGUGUGUGUGUGUUUUUUCAUUGUUAUCUAUCUCAUACAUUCUCUACUUUAGUUCAGAAACCUUUAUUAGGUUACCCAAAAGAUAUUUCAUUUGUACCUUACUCAAGUAAAAGGAAAAAAAUAAAAAUAAAGAAAUCCACCCAGUAUGAUUUAUAAUAAAGCCAUUUUGUCAUUUUGUCUUAUAUACUCCAAAAAGUAGUAUUGAGAAGAUUCAAAAUUAGUGUAUACUCUCAUAUGACCAAAUUGCAUAUUUCAACAUAUACCUAAAUUUUGACAAUUAAAUCAAUUUAGAUUUUAGGGUAGCUAAUUUAUAACUAAUUUCACUUAAUUGCAUUUGAAAGGAAACUCAAAGAUCAACCCAUAAAAUGAUUAUAUAUUCUUCCAAAAUUCUACCAAAAUUAUUGUAGAGAAAAAACGAUAUACCACAAAAUUCAUUCUAAGUAAUUAAAGAAAAAUAGGAGGAAUAUUUGUGGAUGAAAAACAAUACAUAGAUAGUACAACAUUUGAAUUCAUUAUCUCUCGCAAGAUAAAAUCUUCUCAACUCAUUCAUUUAUGACAACAUUUUAGGGUUUAUAUGGAUACAAUUUUGAUUUAUUAAAACAGUCAGAAAUUUAGAGGACAAAAUUGAUUUUAUUUUUAAAUAAAAAUGAAGAAUAUUUAAGAGAGGUGAAACAGUGCUUAUAGUUUUGUAGGAGUACAGAAAUACCAAAUUCUAAUAGAAUUUCCAAAAUAAAUGCAAAGUUUGGGAUAUACAGUAACAAAUGUAAAUAAAAUAAUUAAAGGAAAGAAGAAAUAAAAUAUGACUGUCUAGAUUUUGACCCCUUCCGAGCCGCUUGCUUACUUACUGGUUUGUUUAAAUGUCUCCAGUUAUCAGUAUCCAUCCAAACCUUUCACAAACACUUUUCAAACCUCUACUUACCAUAGAAUUCUGGAACCUAAUUGAACUCAUCGUUAAAAAAAAUGGGUAUGAAUAUAAUUCUGUGUUGGAAGAAAGGUAGGGUAGAGACAGACAAAAGUAGAGCCUAUACAUAACCUGACCUAGCCUAAACAAUACAAUUAAAAUAGAAGAAAGUUAGAAUACACUAAGUUAAUUAAAUUGGAUGAGUAUGAAACUAAUUAAAACCGGCCAAUUCUUUUUAUUGAUUUAAUUUCAAUAAUGAUGAGUGUAAAAAUGGUGAAAGGUGGGUAAAAAAGAAUAGAGAGAGAGAGGUGUAUAGAAGGGAAGAAAGACAGAGAAUGGUUAAAAAAAAGGGAAGAGAGUCAGAUGGUGACAAAAUUAGACCUUUUUCACAGAAAUGUAGGAGCAUAUAAGGUACCAAAAUUAAAGUGAAUAAUUAUAUAGAUAUAUAUAAUUAAUUUAAAAAAAAAAAAAAAAGUGGGAGUGGCAGAACUGGGAGAGGGCAGAAGCAGUCUACUCUACAUGAAGAUGAGUAUUAUGAUUGAUGAUAUUAAACAAAAGUUGGGGAAUCUUCUGUGCAGAGUAAAUUCCCUUUUCACCCUUUUUUUCAAAAAAAAAAAAAAAAAUUAUUGAAGGAAUGAAUCUCAAUCUAAAAAUUCUCAAACUCAACAACACAAAUUCACUCAUUCUCGCCUUUAAUUUUCCCUUUACAGAAUUUUAAGAAAUUCCCCAUUUUUAAUAUUAAUUAAUUAAUUAAUUAGAUAUAUAUUAAAAUUCAUCUAACCCCAUGCAUGCUUCAAACGUGUUGCAGUAUCUAAUUAAAUUGUAGUUGAAAUUGAAUAAUUAUUCCUCAAUUUCCUUCCUUUACAGUGAAGAAGUAAACAGAAAAUGAAGGAGGAAUUGUAAAUGAAUAAAUGAAGGAAAAUUGGGAGAAGAAAUAAGUCAAAAAAUUGUAAUAUGUAUAUACCUGGAGGAAGGAAAUUAGGUAAGUUAAUGGUGAAGGAAGAAGAGCCUGAAAGUGACAUGAUUUCCCACAGCUAUCUUGAGCUUCAAAGUAUGUUGAAAAAUUACAAUUUGAGAUAAUUGUAAUUUGGUGGUGAAUGGGGAAGAAGUUCAAGAAAGCUGUGGAAGAACAUGGCCAGGUUCCCUUUUGCAACAAAUUUUACAAACAGCAACAGCAGCAGCAGUAGCAGCACCUCCAAUUCUCCCAGAUCUUCACACAACAUAAAUUUUGGGGAACUCAUAAACGAAACGAAAGAAAUGAAAUGACUAUGCUGCCCACUGCCUGCUGCCUCCUGCUUAUUCCUAGUUUUCCAAAGGACCACUCUACCAUAUAUAACCCUCUCCCUCCAUCAACCUUUUCUUCUUCUUCUUCUUCUUCUUCUUCUUUAUUUUUUUUAAUUUUUUACUUUCCCUUGUGAGUGCGCGGUGGGGUAUUAAUUUUGAACUCCAAAAAGAAGAUAAAAAACCCAUAAUAAUAAUGAUUCAUGAAGGUAUGAGAGGGUAAAAAAUGAUGAAUAGGUUAUGAUAUGAGAUGUGUAAUUUAAGAAUUAACCGUAUGAACUUGGCUGGCCCUCACAUGUAGCCAUGGGAUGAACAUCCGCUUUUCAUUUUAAUGGGAUUUUUAAGGUAUGGGUUAUUCU